GGAAGUAAAAUCGUAACAAGGUUUCCGUAGGUGAACCUGCGGAAGGAUCAUUAUUGUAUAACCGAGGUGCGAGGGCUGUCGCUGACCCGAAAGGUCGUGCACGCCCGUGUGCCCUCACACACAUCCAUCUCACCCCUAUGUGCACCACCGCGUGGGUCCCCCUUUGGCUUGUUCGGAGGGGGGCUUACGUUUUCACACAAACUUUGUAUGCAGUGUAGAAUGUAUUUUUUGUUUUUGCGAUCACGCAAUCAAUACAACUUUCAACAACGGAUCUCUUGGCUCUC
rnacentral:misc_RNA from 1 species